rnacentral:rRNA from 1 species
ACAAACGCUGGCGGCGUGCCUAACACAUGCAAGUCGAACGAGAAAGGGACCUUCGGGUCCUGAGUAAAGUGGCGCACGGGUGAGUAACGCGUGGAUAAUCUGCCCUAAAGUCGGGAAUAACUCAUCGAAGGGUGGGCUAAUACCGGAUAAUGCUGCUUUCGCCGUGGCGAUGCAGCCAAAGGGGGCCUCUAUUUAUAAGCUCUUGCUUAAGGAUGAGUCCGCGUACCAUUAGCUAGUUGGUGGGGUAAUGGCCUACCAAGGCGACGAUGGUUAGCUGGUCUGAGAGGAUGAUCAGCCACACUGGAACUGAGAUACGGUCCAGACUCCUACGGGAGGCAGCAGUGAGGAAUCUUGCGCAAUGGGGGAAACCCUGACGCAGCAACGCCGCGUGAGUGAGGAAGGUUUUCGGAUCGUAAAGCUCUGUCGGGUGGAAAGAAAAUGACGGUAGCAUAUGAAUAAGCACCGGCUAACUCCGU